AGUGAACGCUGGCGGUAGGCCUAACACAUGCAAGUCGAACGGCAGCACAGGAGAGCUUGCUCUCUGGGUGGCGAGUGGCGGACGGGUGAGGAAUACAUCGGAAUCUACUCUGUCGUGGGGGAUAACGUAGGGAAACUUACGCUAAUACCGCAUACGACCUACGGGUGAAAGCAGGGGACCUUCGGGCCUUGCGCGAUUGAAUGAGCCGAUGUCGGAUUAGCUAGUUGGCGGGGUAAAGGCCCACCAAGGCGACGAUCCGUAGCUGGUCUGAGAGGAUGAUCAGCCACACUGGAACUGAGACACGGUCCAGACUCCUACGGGAGGCAGCAGUGGGGAAUAUUGGACAAUGGGCGCAAGCCUGAUCCAGCCAUACCGCGUGGGUGAAGAAGGCCUUCGGGUCGUAAAGCCCUUUUGUUGGGAAAGAAAUCCAGCCGGCUAAUACCCGGUUGGGAUGACGGUACCCAAAGAAUAAGCACCGGCUAACUUCGUGCCAGCCGCCGCAGUAA
rnacentral:rRNA from 1 species